rnacentral:rRNA from 1 species
AUGAACGCUAGCGGGAGGCCUAACACAUGCAAGCCGCGCGGUAGAGUCUCUUCGGAGACUUGAGAGCGGCGCACGGGUGCGGAACACGUGUGCAACCUGCCUUUAUCUGGGGGAUAGCCUUUCGAAGGGAAGAUUAAUACCCCAUAAUAUACUGGAUGGCAUCAUCUGGUAUUGAAAACUCCGGUGGAUAGAGAUGGGCACGCGCAAGAUUAGAUAGUUGGUGAGGUAACGGCUCACCAAGUCAGCGAUCUUUAGGGGGCCUGAGAGGGUGAUCCCCCACACUGGUACUGAGACACGGACCAGACUCCUACGGGAGGCAGCAGUGAGGAAUAUUGGACAAUGGGUGAGAGCCUGAUCCAGCCAUCCCGCGUGAAGGACGACGGCCCUAUGGGUUGUAAACUUCUUUUGUAUAGGGAUAAACCUAGAUACGUGUAUCUAGCUGAAGGUACUAUACGAAUAAGCACCGGCUAACUCCGUG